rnacentral:lncRNA from 1 species
GCAUUCUCACUCAACGUAAUGAUUUUGAUGUCCAUCUAUGCUGUGUGUGCACCGUACAUUCUUUCCCUUCUGAGGAGUAAUCCAUUGUUGGAUGUGCCACAAUCUGUUCAUUCACUUACCUGCUCAUGGAUCGUUUCACUCUUUCCAGUUCUUGGCAGUUACGGAUAAACUUGCCAUUAACACUCAUAUGCAAAUCUUUGUGUGGAUUUGCGUUUUCUUUUCUCUUGGGUGUCAGAUGCCUGGGUCAUACGGUAGGGAGAUGCUUAAGGUUCUGAAAAACUGCCAAGCUAAUUUUCCCAAGUGUUUGUACCCUUUUACAGUCUCACCAGCAGUGUGGAAGGGUCUAGCUGCUCCGUAUCCUUGACAGCACUUGGUAGAGUCAGUCUUUUCAGUUUUAGCCAAUCUAAUUUAUGAAGAGGCAUUUCAUUAUAGUGUGAUUCGCAUUCCCGUGGUGAUUGAUGCUGUUUAGCACCUGUUUACGUGCUUCUUGGCCAUUUAUGUAUCUUCUUGUUUGAAGUGUUGGUUCAAAAGUUUUACCCAUUUUUUAAAUUGAGUUAUUUGUUUUAUAAAAGUCAUUGAGUUGUUAAAAUUCUUCAUAUAUUUGUUAUAUAUAUCCCUUAUACUUUUUUAUAUUUGAUAGAAGUAUUAUAUUCUAGUCUGUAGCUUGCUUUUUAUUUUCUUCUUUUUGUCUUUGGAAGAACAAAACGUUUUCCAUUUUGAGGAAGUUCAGUUUGCCAGUGUUUUCUUUCAUGGUUUGCACUUUCCCUGAUCUCAGAAAUGUUUGCCUACCACCAAGUUGCAAUGAUUUUUCUCCUAUGUUGUCUUCUGGAAGAUUUAUGGUUCUAGGCUUCACUUUUAGGUCUGUGAUCCAUGCUGGGUUCAUUUUUGUGAAUCAUGUGAGGGAAAGUUUUUUCUUCUCAACAAGAAGUAAGAAACUAAAUUGUUUCUUAUCAGUAUUUCGUUUUCCAGCACCAUGUGUGCAUUAUAUGCAUUUUUGUGUAUUUAGAAGUAUUUUUCUGAGAAGAUGUCCUUAGCCAUCCCCAGACUGCUAAAGAGGUCCCUGGCACAUGUUCUAGAGAUUCCAGCAGAGUAAGAGAUAGGGAACCGCAGACAUUCGGGAAAAGUGUUCCCGAGACGCAUGUAGGAGUCCAGCAUGUCAGCCCACCCAGUUUAGGGAGACCGCUUCUCAGCACAGUGACAUUGCGUGACAACCAGAGAUCUGGGCCAGAGCACUGACUAGAGUCUUCUCAGAGACAGGGGUGGGAUGUCCUGAACCACGCCGACAAUUAUGUUGAUGAUUUUAUAACUUCGAGAGGGGUUGCUCACAGCCCCUGGUCUACCUGUUGUCAUCGCUUCCCAUAUGAUAACUCGAUUGAAUUUCACGUCUUUGGUCCACAGGACAUAUCUAAGUCACCCUGUCUAGGCAGGGUGGCCGUCUGUCCCAGUUUGCCUGCAAACGUCCCGGUUUAUGCUUUAGUAUUAAUAGUGCCCACGUCACUCUGACAGGUUCCACUCCCGGAGCGCUCGAGACCUUUGAACUUGAGGGACUCCCAUCAUCUCUUCAGGACGGUCCCUAUGUCUUCAGGACCCUACGUUCUUUUUUGAUGUACAGUGAUUUCUGGCUGGGUCGUGGAGCUUUCUGAAGUCUCUCACUCAGCGUUUCCAAGAUCAUGCCCCUGGUACGACCUGGAGACCAGUUGGCUCUAUGCACCGUCAAAGAUGAUAUUCAGGGAGUUCCUUUUGUGGCUCAGCAGGUUAAGAACCCAAGCAGUAUCCGUGAGGAUGCAGGUUCUAUCUCUGGCCUCACUCGGGUUAAGAACAAUAGUGUCCAUGAGGAUAUGGAUUCAAUCCUUGGCCUCGCUCCAUCCAUUAAGGAUCCAGGGUUGCCUCGAGCUGUGGUGUAGGUCACAGACGGCAGCUUGGUUCCUGAGUUCCUGUGGCUGUGGCGUAGGCCGGCAGUUGCGGCUCUGAUUCAGCCCCUAGCCUGGGAACUUCCAUAUGCCUCGGGUGUGGCCGUGAAAAGAAAAGAAAAAAAAAAGAUGACAUUCAGCUAAACGCAAGGCUCAAAAAGAGAAACCACAUGUAUUUAAAAGCCGUAAAUCUUUUCAUCCUAUUUGCUUUCUCUCUCUAGGGAACAAAGAAAGCAAAAAGUGGCAGGUCUUUAAGGAAAUGUCAAGCUGCAGAACAAAUAGAAAGAGAGAGCACGUGAAAGCAAAAGAGAAGAAAAAACCUUGACCCAUAACUUGGGUUCUUUUCUGGUUUUUAGAAAACAGGACUUCUGAAAUAUCUCUAUUCUUGCUUAUUUAUUGGGGGGGGGGUAUGGAGGUAAAGAAAAUCAGAAAGGGCAGCCCAACUAUGGUCAUCCUGUGCGUGCAGCAUCAAAGGCCACACCAUUUCAUCUGUAUCUGUCCUUCAUUCAUCGGCUCUUUGUUGAGUGGUCCCCAUGCACCCAGCACUGUUCUAGGCACUAGCGAUACGGCCACGAGCCAAAGAGCCAAGUCUCUGCUGAUAUGGAGCUGAUACUCCAGUGAGAGGGACACAGCAUGGACAGAGAACCGGGUAAAUGCAUGAGGGAGCGUCAUGGAGUGAUCAGUGAUCUGGGCGAGAAAAAUGGGGGACAGUUUUGGUGAGUUUGCUGUUUUGGACAAACAAGGUGGUCAGGGAGGGACCCUCGGGGAUGGAGACUCUUCAGCAGAGACCUGAAUGAAGGGAAAACCCUGGGACUGUGUCAGGGAGGGGCAGUGUAGGCAGAGGGAACCGUGCAUGUUGGUGUCUUGACAAUGGCUUUCCGCGUGGGCAUAAGCAUCUCCCGCUGGACAUCCCUGAUCCUGAAAUUCUGAUGCUCUGCCUGAAAAUACACCCAAGAGUUGAUUUCCUAUUAUUUUAAAUAGGAGAAGUUAUAAUGCAUGACUUGUCCAUGCAAGCCCCCAAACAGUGUCCUAAGAUGGAACAAAAUACUUAAAACGCCCAUCAAGUGUCAAACUAGCUCAUUUAGGAUGUAAAAUGCUGAAAGCAUGGCUUCCUGGUCACCAAUUACUAAGGUUUUCAACAAACAGUUGAUUUGUAUGUGGUGACAUGGUGACACGGUCACCCCCCAUGGCUUGUCCCCUUCUCGGCAUCUUGGUGCACUUUUCUAAGUGUGAUAGCCUCUCAGUAGUAGCUAAAAUGUUACUUUCUUUAGCUGUUAUUUUGGUAGAAAUGCUACCUGAAAUGUUGAGGAUACAAAUGUCAUUUUUCUUUUAUCAACACUGUUCUGAUUAUUUUAAGAAACAUGCCUGCCCUGAAGUUGGAUAUGAAAAACAAAGAGGUUGUAAACCAACUAUAAUAUUAAAAAAAGUCAUUAAAAAUUAAAAAAUAAAAGUAAAUAACAGAAAGCAAGGAAAAAACAAACAAAAAACAAAAGAGGCAGUCUGUUGGGAAGCUAUUUACCAGGAGGAUAGCUGUGCCCCUCUUUCUUGUUCUUGGGUGAGGGAAGAUGUGAGAUGUGUGUGUGAUGGGAUAUUUUAUAUUUCAUGUAUGUAUUUUAUAUUUUAUAUUUGCAAAAAGCCCCCUGCCCCACCUCCACAAUGUGUGUCACGUGUUGCCUUUUUUCCCAAGGACUCAUGGGAAAACUCCUCUCCUGUGCCAGUAUCACGAAGUGUUCUGAUUUGUUCCAGUAGUCUGUUAGUUUCUGAUAGGCUUUGAGAGUCAUGAAACAGAAGCACUUUGAAAUCCAUGGCUUUCAAACUUGACAAUCUUGGGGUGUCUUCAAGACCGAGGUAUAAGGGAUGAGGCUGAGGCUGGGAGUCUUCACCUCCUUUUUUCAUACUGAGAUUCUAUGCAUGCUAACUUUUUUUUUCCUUUUAAUUCAUCUGUAAAAAAUAUGAAAUGCUUUGCAAGUUUGUGUGUCAUCCUUGCUCAGGGGUGGUGCUAAUCUCUGUAUUGUUCCAGUUUUUGUAUAUGUGCUGCCAAAGCAGGCACACUAUGCUUACUUUUGAAUAAAAGAAAGUUUGAAAGCCAUUGGUAUAAUUUGUCACACUUUCCUCUUUGCAUUGGCUGCCAGGAAGCUCAGCAUCUAAUUCUCAGUCCACCACUAACAAGGGCUCAGGACUUUUAGCACAUAUUUUGCAAAUAUCACCCUUGACUUUCUUUUCUUUCCUUCUCUGUGUUUCCCCUUCACCUGCUUUUCUUGUUUUCUUAUUCUGCUGCAACCUCAAAUCCUUUUUGGAAAGAGCCAAGGUUUAAAUGAAUGCAUUAAAACAAAAAGAAGUACUUUUCUGUAGAGGAGAUUUUUGCAGAUGGGAAAGGAAUGUGUAUAGAAAUAAGGCAUGAUUUGGCAUGGAGAGUACACAUGUGUGUUUGUAGGAUAUGUAUAUACAAGUUGGAAACAUUGUGAAGUUUGUAGUUUUCACAGUUAAGCUGGUCUUCUGGCUUCAGAGGACAUUUAUACUUGGAAGGUUCUAGGGGGGAAAAAGUGUUUUACUCCAGGGUAGGCAUGCCUGCGGUCUACACUCCAAAGAAUCUGCUUAACGGUUUAGCAUUUUCAGAUUUUGCCCGAGAUUAUUUUUCUGGUCAUUAUAAAAUAAGGACAAAUACUUAUCAAGAAGUUAUCCAGGGAUAAGCAACAAGAUCCUGCUCUAUAGCCCAGGGAACUAUAUCUAGUCACUUCUGAUGGAACACGAUGGAGGAUAAUGUGAGAAAAAGAAUAUAUGUAAAUAGAUGUGCGUGACUGGGUCACUUUGCUGUACAGUAGAAAUUUUCAGAACACUGUAAACCAAUUCUAAUGGAAAAAACAAAAAACGUUAAAAAUAUUUUUAAAAAUAAAAGAUACCACUUCACACACACACACACACACACACACACACACACACACACACACACACACAAUAUAAUUUCAUUUUGCAUGGUUUCAAGUAAAAUCCUCCAAACUGGGGAGGGGGGAAGAAAUCCAGGGAAAGAUGGGCAGGAAGGACAUGUCCCCGCAUAGGAAGGGGACUGGAUUUUCCGUGGUCUUGGGUAAGAAGUGGGAGCCCUGAGUCUUAUGUGAGUUCCUGUUUCAUCUGCUGUAAAUCUGUGGUCAGAUCCUUUUUCUCCCAAACAUGGGGACUCUCCUGGGGACUCUGCUGCACCCUGGAAUCACCAUCACCCAGGGAGCUUUAAAAAUACACACACACACACACACACACCCACACACACACACAGAUUGCAUGCAAUUCACUUGAUAUUUUCUAUUCCAGUCUGUUCCAUUCUUUUCCUUUAGGAAAAAAGAGUGUGCUUACUGCCACUGUUUGAACAACAUUAUAUGAAGGCUUGUGGGCCAAGAUAAAUUAAACACCUCUGGAGAGCAUUCAGAUGCUCAAUUGAUGAUGACUGAGAGCUUUCGGCAAAGAUGCUAUGGGAAGUGAGGUUGUGUGUACAGUAAUAAUAUUUGUUGAGCAAUUGCUCGUGCCAGCUAUGGUCACAGUAGAAAGUAUUUCCACAAGCAUGAUCUCAGCAAACUGUCAUGAUGAUAAUUAUACGUUGGUACUGUUAUCUCCACUUUAGAGAUAAGGCCAAGGACUCAUACACAUUCUGUAGCCAGAAAGCAGAAGAGUCGUCUUCAUCCAGGAGUGGCAGAUCUAACCUCACCUGCCUCCUACAAAGGGGAUACUUGUGCUCACUGAACAUGAUUGCUUUACUGAAGUUUGGGGAGAAAAAAGGGGAUGGAAUCAGCUGUGACCAGAGGUGGUUCCUGGCAGAGUGGGACCUGCUGCUUAUACAACUUGGGGUCUUAUUUAAGAAAAAUACAAAAUUGUGAGUUUGAAAUUCAGUACAAAAGUGAAUAGUUCUUUGAAUUAAGAAAUCACAAAGUUCCCGUCAUGGCUCAGUGGAAACAAAUAUGCCUAGUUAGUAUCCAUGAGGACACAGGUUUAAUCCCUAGCCUUGCUAAGUGGGUUAAGGAUCCCAGGUUGCCAUCAGCUGUGGUGUAGUUUGCAGAUGUGGCUUGGAUCUGGCAUUGCUAUGGCUGUGCUGUAGGCCAGCGGCUGCAGCUC